UAAAAGUUAUGGAUCGACUCGUGUGGAUAUUAUCGGUUUAGACAGACGCGUGUUUUUAACAGAUGUCGGUGCAAAAUUAAUUGGAUAUCACCUGCGAAUUGAGGUUGCAAAGGCGAUCAUGGAAUGGGAUGCUUUCAUAGCGGCCAGUUUCUACAGGGAGGAGGUGGUUGGCAGUGCGGAAUUUAAAGAUACUUUGGGACUCAUCGGGAUGAAUUUUAAUCAGGUCAGAGGCACUACUUGAGACAAUAACGGUGUCAUCUGCAUACAAUAGGACCAGAAGCUUAAGCCACAAUAUUGCAGUAUCUGGGUUG